rnacentral:rRNA from 1 species
GAGUUUGAUCUUGGCUCAGAACGAACGCUGGCGGCAUGCCUAACACAUGCAAGUCGAACGAGAUCUUCGGAUCUAGUGGCGCACGGGUGCGUAACGCGUGGGAAUCUGCCCUUGGGUGCGGAAUAACUUCUCGAAAGGGAUGCUAAUACCGCAUAAUGUCGUAAGACCAAAGAUUUAUCGCCCAAGGAUGAGCCCGCGUAAGAUUAGCUAGUUGGUGGGGUAAAAGCCUACCAAGGCGACGAUCUUUAGCUGGUCUGAGAGAAUGAUCAGCCACACUGGGACUGAGACACGGCCCAGACUCCUACGGGAGGCAGCAGUGGGGAAUAUUGGACAAUGGGCGAAAGCCUGAUCCAGCAAUGCCGCGUGAGUGAUGAAGGCCCUAGGGUUGUAAAGCUCUUUUACCCGGGAUGAUAAUGACAGUACCGGGAGAAUAAGCUCCGGCUAACUCCGUGCCAGCAGCCGCCGUAAU